rnacentral:rRNA from 1 species
GUGAAGAUUAAUUACGUCCAGUACAAGCAAACGUCCAUUAUUAUUAUUAUCACACCAUGACAGCAACCACGAAGACAUACAAGCAGUAGCAGUGAAGACGCAGCCGCCAUGACGGCGCGGCGUCGCCAUCACCGGCCGGUUCGAUCGGCUAUUCAGCUAUACUACGUACGUUCACCAGACACGCAAACAAGAAACAACAGGCUAGGGAGAGCAGAGCAGGGGAUGAAGAAGAAUUGAAGAAGCAACGUCAGCCCAUGCGUACGCCCAAGCCCAAGUGGUGGGCGUCGUCCAGCUUGGCUUUGGCUUGGCUUGGGCGGCUAGAGGGCGAGGACGAGGCCGGGGAGGGAGUUGCGGGCGCGGUCGGGGCGGCGGCUCUGCCAGACGCACUUGGACGCGGCGGCGGCGGCGAGGCGGGUGACGGUGAGGUCGGUGUUGAAGUACUCGCGGAGCUGGGUGAUCACCCCAUCGGAGCCCACGGUCCACGCGUGCACCCAGUACGCCGCCUUGGUGUCCUCGCCGGCGGCCGAGACGCCCUCGGCGAUGACGGUGGAGCCGAAGGCGUCCACGGAGCGCGGCUCGAAGCGGAAGGAGGAGGAGGAGGACGGGGAGCUGGAGCCGGUGAGGAGGCGCAUCAUGUGCUGGUGCGCGGGCGGGCCAUGGAACCACCACUCGAGGUCGGGGGCGAGGAGGGAGUGCACGGCGGCGUGGUCGCGGCCGUUGAGCGCCUCGUAGAGGCGGAGCACGAGGAAUUUGUUGCGCUGCUCCUCGGUCUCGUGCCCGCGCAGGGAGGCGGCGCCGCCCUCCAGCUGAUCCAGGUUGGCCAG